AAGGAUCAUUACAAGGUACCUAGCCUACCCGGCUAGAACCUCCAACCACUGUGUACCAAACUUUUGUUGCCUCGGCGGGCUGGGUGCCCACCAGCACCCCCCUUAGGGGAGUCGCCCGCCGAUGGACCUUUAAAACUUCUUCGUAGAUGAACGUCUGAUUUAAUCUUAAAAAGAAAUACAACUUUUAACAAUGGAUCUCUUGGCUCUG
rnacentral:misc_RNA from 1 species